rnacentral:rRNA from 1 species
ACUUGAAAACUAAACCUUGAUUAGUAGGAGUUAUAUUCUGAAACUUAAAAAGUUUGGCGGCUUUUAAUAAACUCAGGGGAAUUUGUAUCAUUAUCGUCACUACGCGCUAUACCUUACUUAGCUAUAGUUUGUAUACCGCCGUCUAAGUAAUCUUUGAACAGAUUGACUACAAUUAGCCAUAAAAACGUCAGGCCAUGGUGCAACAUAGCUAAGGUGAUUACAAAUUACAAUU